UACAUGGGGUGCAAGCGUUACUCGGAAUCACUGGGCGUAAAGAGCGCGUAGGCGGCUUGGUAAGUCUGAUGUGAAAGCCCCGGACUCAAUCCGGGAAGUGCAUUGGAUACUGCUAAGCUAGAGUACAGGAGAGGUGAACGGAAUUCCUGGUGUAGAGGUGAAAUUCGUAGAUAUCAGGAGGAACAACAGAGGCGAAGGCGGUUCACUGGACUGUCACUGACGCUGAGGCGCGAAAGCGUGGGGAGCAAACAGG
rnacentral:rRNA from 1 species